rnacentral:ncRNA from 1 species
GGGUGACGGCGUGCCUUUUGUAGAAUGAACCGGCGAGUUACGGUAGCGUGCGAGGUUAAGUUGAAGAGACGGAGCCGCAGCGAAAGCGAGUCUGAAUAGGGCGCAAGUACGCUGCCGUAGACCCGAAACCGUGUGAUCUAGCCAUGUCCAGGGUGAAGGUAGGGUAACACCUACUGGAGGCCCGAACCCACGCACGUUGAAAAGUGCGGGGAUGAGGUGUGGCUAGCGGUGAAAUUCCAAUCGAACUCGGAGAUAGCUGGUUCUCCCCGAAAUAGCUUUAGGGCUAGCCUCGGA